UACGUAGGGUGCGAGCGUUAAUCGGAAUUACUGGGCGUAAAGCGUGCGCAGGCGGUUUUGUAAGCCAGAUGUGAAAUCCCCGGGCUCAACCUGGGAAUGGCAUUUGGGACUGCAAGGCUGGAGUGCGGCAGAGGAGACUGGAAUUCCUGGUGUAGCAGUGAAAUGCGUAGAUAUCAGGAGGAAUACCGAUGGCGAAGGCAGGUCUCUGGGCUGACACUGACGCUCAUGCACGAAAGUGUGGGGAGCAAACAGG
rnacentral:rRNA from 1 species